AACAACUACAAAUGCAAUAAAAGUAUUGAAGGAGAUUUUUGUUUGGUUGGUUGUUAUAAUUAGAAAAUGAAAAGACGAGUGUGUUUUUACACUUUUUUUUAACUUACAGAUUGGCCAGCAUGGUGAAACAAUAUACAAGUGGGUUCAACUCAUGUGGUGGUUUCUGGCAGGUGGUGGAAAGACACUGUAUGCAGUUUCUCCCUGUGUUUACAAACGUAGGUGAGAAACUUGGGAGAAGCUGCAUGCAGUCUCUCUUCACCAUAAAAUGGAGUCCACCUGGAAGCAACCGCAGGGAGGCUGAAGAGCAGACCAUUUUCUGGUGGGAUUGGUGGCUGGUUGCUAUUCAAGAUGGAGAAGUAGACAUCUCCUUUGAGCAAAUACUUGUGUUUGUGUCAGGGGCGGAUACCAUUCCCCCGCUUGGGUUUUCGCCAAACCCAUCAGUUGAAUUUUUUGACCAGGAACCAGGAGAGCAACGCCUGCCAUACUCCCCUACCUGCAGCAUCACCCUUUUCCUUCCAAGAGGAGUGGAGUGUGAGGAGCAAUUUAAAGCCAUGAUGGAAAUCAAGGGCUCACAUGGCUUUGGAAAAGUCUGAUAAAAAAAAAAACCUGGUGAUAAUAAAAGUUUCAAAGGUUA